UUGGCAUGUAAAUAUAACUUUUUGCAUUGAAAAUAGUGCUUUCUAACAAAUGUUGGACAAAGAAGUAACUUCUUAUAAAAAAUAAAAAAAAUAAAAAAAAACUUUUUAAUUUUACAAUAUUAUUAACUUUUCGUACUCACAGGGAGAGGAGGAUUUGUCCAAACCUCAACGAGGUCGGACUAGCUACCCUUAAAAUUUGUAAGACUGCAUCACAAGAAAAUUUUGGUUGAAUAGGAUCAUCCUCAUCGAUCAUUAUAUAUAUAUACACUCUUUGUCCAGUUGCUAUUAUAAUCCAUACGCGUGGGUAUAGAAUCUCUCACGUACAAUCCAUUAUUUCACUGUGAAGACUAAGUUCACAAGUAACACCAGACCUUUUGUUUUUUUUUUUUUCCUUGUGUGUAGUCAUUUUCACAAAAGUCACACCAACGUCAGCUUUAUGAUACACACUUUUUACCAUUUUGUCUUUUUCACCAAUCAUCUUGAGACUCUUAACCGAUGAAUUUUACAGUUUUACCCAACUCUACAUCUUAAUCAUUGCUUAUAUAAACCCCACAUCCAUGACUGAAAAUACUGUCCAAAUUCCUAAAUCAACAACUAUGGCAGCUUCUAACUUGGGAGGACAUCUGGUUCUCUUCUUCUUGCUCAUCCUUUCACUUUUCGCCACUCAUGAAUGUGGUGGCAGUAGCAGAGCCGGAGAUGUGCAGCAGCUUAAGGUGUCUAUGGGGGCGAAAGAUAAUAUAAGAAUGAUUUAUGAUGUCUGCCAACAACAAGAAAGUUAUGGCGGUGGAGAAUGCUGGUAUUGUCCCAAAGAUGGUAACUGUUGGUGGGAAGAGUCGGAUUGUCUGGAGAACUGUACUCCAUAACCACACCCCUCUUCUAACAAUCAUAUGCAAGCAAUCAUUACCAUGGUUGUCAAUGUUGAUCGUCUUCUUUCAACAUUAUGCUAUGCAAUCUAUCUUAUCUUAUUGUCAGAAAUAAAAAUUAGUCUUUCUUA